UCCUGUCUAUAUAUACGUUCCCACAGUUAACAGUGAAUGUCAGAACAAAAAAACAAGUUAUGAGGUAGAAGGCAUUGUCCGGAGAGUGAGAUUCUGAUGAAAGGCAGCAAAGUCUCGAUCUCGUCAGGAAGACCCUGAGCAGCUGCGGUUGAAACAGAAAGCCAAAGAGAUGCAGGAGCUGCUUCAGUUGAGAUCGAAGGAAGCUAACCUGAUGGCACUGGCAAUUGUAGGCCCCAGGAAGAUGAGGAAAAUGGAGGCUGCAGCCGCUGGAGCUGAGAACAUGGGCUCUGGGUCAUGUCCCUCUGCGUCUGGUAGUGCUAGUUCAGGAGCGUCCAGACAAUUUACCCGCCAGAGCAUCACUCGUGUCGACCCCAGGGACAUGCUCUUCUGUCUGGAGAAUGAGAGAGAGACCAGUCACUCCCACUUCAUCGACAGAAGCUUCCUUAAAAAGACACCCCAUAGAGACAGACCGGAGAGCUGUCACUCUCGCAUCCACUAUAGCAACUCCCUCAAAUAGAGAGCCCAGACAAAAAGGUAUCUACCCUAGAAUUGGAUAAGAGGGAUGGGACAGUGAUAAAUGGAUAUCAUGCUUCUCCAGGUCACAGUGAAUGGAUCUGACCAAAGUGAAUGGAACGUUUGUCUCCACUGUAUACUCUGGUUGUCCUUUUGUUCUCCAUCUAGUUCUACGCCUGACUGCUCCCUCUACACUCCACCUUCCCCCAGAGCAUUCCUGGGACUCUCACAUGUUCUAGGUUUUUAUAAAUGUUUUACUUACAAUGGAAUUCUAAAAAUAAAAAAGUAAUUAAAGUGUAAAGAAGUAAAUAUUUGCAUUAUAUUAUUAUACAUUU